GAAGUUCACAAUUUUAAGGAUUCAUGACUACAACCCCAAAAUACGGCACUUCUGCCUGUGUGGAAACAACAGAAGCAGGAAGAUUACUCUCAUUUUUCUCUGGCCUUUUUCCCUUGAAGCAGACUAUAAAGAAGAAUCUGACCUUCCUCUGAAGGAAACCUUCAUUCCAGACAUACCCUCCCUAUAUCCAAAGAACAUCUUUAUCUUUAAAGACACAGAGAUGUCAAGAAGAAUCUGAACAAACAGGCUUUGCCAGAUCCCCCAGUUUACUAAUAUUGAACCAUACUCUUUUGUUCUUCAAUCAUACUUCUGCAUGAUGUCCAUAAAAAUACACAGUUUUCCCCAUUCCUUUUGGGUAUUUAUUCCCGAAAGCUUCUGUGUCAUGUAAAACUUACAUUAAAU
rnacentral:lncRNA from 10 species